CAGCACUUGAUACUAACCAAGCCAUCUCUCCUCCAGUGCUCAUUUAGAGUUCAGAGGGGUAGCUAGUGAUGGCUGGGUCCCAGAAGUGCAACAUUAAAUCAAGCCCUGAAGUGAUGAAGCUCGAGUGUGCAAAGGAACACACUGGGUUAUAGCUCAGAGGCACAGAC